AUAUUAGGAGAAGGAUGGUGAAGUUUGGUAUUUGCCGAUAGGGAUUGGUGUUUCAAACAACGGAAAUACUUGGGAGCCCAAGAAAAUCUUUAUUGUAAUAAUUUCGUUGCAGCAUUGGAAAGCAAAUGUCUAACGUUGACUGAGAAUCCUGAAAACAAGCUAAGCCAAGAGAAGAAAAUUGUGAAGAAAAAAAGAACUAAAGCACAGAUGUCCAGUCAUCCAACAUGAUUUGAUCGAAAUGUAGAGGUGGAGACAGUUUUAGGAGUAAGCGAUGACUGUGAAGAAACUGUAUAGGUAGUUCUACAGAUGUGUAGAGAAUGGUGGUUGCAGGGCAGGAGAGUCAUUCUUUUAUACAAUACCUUUCCAUUUCUAUUAUAAAUUGUCUUUUUACCCGCUUAAUGUAGCUGGAACAUGAAAUAUUGGAAUUGUAGCGGUUGACCAGAAUUACAAACAUAUAUUUGCAGGAGUUUUUCAACUAUCAUUGUUUUUCAGUGCAUAGAGUAAUUUGGCUUAGCAUAACAUUACUUUGGAAGUACAGGUUUGUUUUAAAUUCUUAACUAGAAACAGUGAACAUCAAAGCAUUAUCAAAGCAUCAUUAGAGCUUCAUAGUUUUCCAAUAGGAUAUGAUUGAAGUGUAGAAAAUGAAAAUGAAGAAAUGUAAGUAGUGACCACUAUUUUAUUGUUAUAAAUCUUGAAUUUGAAAUGUUCUACAUGUUUCUUUGCACUCUUCAUCCGUAACUUUUAAGGAAAUUUUUGUCUCCCACCCAAAUAGGUUUUUCUAGGUACGCAAUGUGGCUUCAUUCUGUUACCUGGGAUUAGGUUGUCCAAGAAGAAGCCUAGUACUCCUGCUGUGCUCAUGCUCAUGAGAACAUUGAGUAUCUAACCGAAGAUAUGCAAUCACCUGUGAACAUCAA